CCGCUGCUGGGUCGCCUGUAGCGGU
rnacentral:ncRNA from 1 species